GCCAGGCCUGGUGGUGCUGGCCUGUAAUCCCAGCUACUUGGGAGGCUGAGGCAGGAGAAUUGCUUGAACCUGGGAGGCCAGAGGUUGCAGUGCGCUAAAAUCAGACCACUGCACUCCAGCCUAGGCCACAGAGCGAGACUCUGUCUUGA
ensembl:misc_RNA Metazoa_SRP Metazoan signal recognition particle RNA